rnacentral:lncRNA from 1 species
AUUAUAAAUAAAAUAGUAAAAAAUCUUAAAGGAGUUCAAGAAAAAUCUACAAUAAACCUUGAAAGAAUCCUUAAGAAAUUUUAAAGAAAUCUUAGAAUAAUCACAAAUAUAUCUUAAAUAAAUCUCAAGCAAAUCUUUAUUUAAUCUUAGUUAAAAUCUUAAUGGACUUCAAUCAAAUCCUAGGCCAAAUUCUAAUUAAAUCCUAAAUCUUAAAUCAAACCUUGGACAAAUCUUAAAUUCUAAAUCAAACCCUAAUUAAAUCCUAGAGAAAUCCAAAAUACUAAACCAAAUCCUGAUCAAAUCCUAAAUUUUAAAUCAAAUCCUAACCAAAUCCUAACCAAAUCCUAUUAUAAUUUAGAACCUUGAUAUCUUUUGAUAAAAUCAUUGAUCUUAUUUAAAAUUUUAUUCACCUAUCAAUCUCUUAGUUACAAACAAAUACAACAAAUUUGAAGACAAUCAUACUUACCAAAUGGAAGAAAAAUUUUAAAAGUUGCUCGGAUGUUUGCUGGCCUCCUCUUCCAAUCUUGAUAUUAAUCUUCUAGUGCUAACAUCUCUCCUUUGUACCAUUCAAUUGAUUUCAAAAUUCUCAUAUAUGUAAGAAAAUAAGUCUACUACCUAUACGCACAAAUUUCACUCAAAUCCAAUUUGUAGAUUAUAAGAAAUCUUAGAAACCCUCACUAGACCUAAAAUUCUACUUUUCAAGACCUCCACCGACUUAAGCCUCAAUAAUCCUCAAUCCAAUUGUUAAAUCAAGCUAAAAUUCAUAAUACAUAUUAAGCACAACUAAAACCAUUAAUUCAUACAAUUUUACUUAUAGAUCUACUAUAAAAUUCUUGUAAUCACUCAAAAUGUCAAUCCUAUUUUAUUUGACAAAAACCCAAGUCAUCUGAAAUAAUCUUGCCUUUGUAAAGUUCUUACAAAAUCAUUUCAAAUCCAAAUAAUCCAAAACCAAUGCUCAUAGAUUUUU